ACGGAAGGCAGCAGUGGGGAAUAUUGCACAAUGGGGGAAACCCUGAUGCAGCAACGCCGCGUGAGUGAAGAAGUAUUUCGGUAUGUAAAGCUCUAUCAGCAGGAAAGAAAAUGACGGUACCUGACUAAGAAGCCCCGGCUAACUACGUGCCAGCAGCCGCGGUAAUACGUAGGGGGCAAGCGUUAUCCGGAUUUACUGGGUGUAAAGGGAGCGUAGACGGCUUUGCAAGUCUGAAGUGAAAGCCCGGGGCUCAACCCCGGAACUGCUUUGGAAACUGUAGAGCUAGAGUGCAGGAGAGGUAAGUGGAAUUCCUAGUGUAGCGGUGAAAUGCGUAGAUAUUAGGAGGAACACCAGUGGCGAAGGCGGCUUACUGGAAUGUAACUGACGUUGAGGCUCGAAGGCGUGGGGAGCAAACAGGAUUAGAUACCCUGGUA
rnacentral:rRNA from 1 species